rnacentral:lncRNA from 1 species
ACUACUCUAUUUCCCUUUAGAAGGAGAUCUGUGCUUCCCCCUAUAGCCCAUCUCUACCUAGCCUUUCUGGGUUUGUGGAGUAUGGCUUGAUUAUUAUUUACCCAGUAGGUAAUAUCCACUUAUAAGUGAAUGCAUGCCAUGUGUGUCAUUCUGGGUGUGGGUUACUUCACUUAGGGUCGUUUUGUUUUGUUUUAAGUUGCAUUCACUUUGCUGAAAAUUCACAAUUUCGGGUGUUUUUGUUUGUUUGUUUUUAAACAGCUAAGUGAUACUCCAUUGUAUAAAUGGACCACAGUUUUUUUGGGUUUUUUUUUUUUUGUUUGUUUGUUUUUUGUUUUUGUUUUGUUUUUUUUUUUAAUCCAUUCUGCAGUUGAGGUACCUCUUGGUUGUUUCCAGUUUCUGGCUAGGAUGAAUAAAUGUGCUAUGAACCUAGUUGAGCAAAUAUCCCUGUGGUAGGGAGGAGCACCUUUUGGAUAGAUUCCCAAGAGCCGUAUAGCUGGGUUUUGGGUAGAUGGAUUCUCACUGUUGUGAGGGACCACAAUUCUGAGGAAAUACUGAUUUCUAUAGUGAUGGUAUUAGUUUGUACCCCACAAGGAGGUGGGGUUUGUUCCCCUUUCUCCACAUCCUUGCCAGCAUGAGCUGUCACUUGUAUUAUUGAUCUCAACCAUUCUGACAUUUACAAGAAAGAUGCUCAAAGUAAUUUUGAUUUGCAUUCCCCUCAUGACUAAGAUGGCGAUGAUUUCAUUAAGUAUUUCUCAGCUUUUUGAGACUCUGUUGAGAAUUCUCUGUUUAGAUCUAUACCACAUUAUAAAUUGAAUUUCUUGGUUUGGAUAGUCUAGUUUCUUGAGGUUGCUACAUAUUUUAUAUAUUAGGCCUCUAUAAUAUGUGAAUUUGAUUAAAAAAAAUUAUUCCCAUUCCUUAGGCAGCCUUUAUGUCCAAUUGACCAGGUUUUUGCCACUUUUAAUCCAUUUUCUUUUAUUGGCAAAGAGGAGAAACAGGACACACAGUAUUGGCCUGUAAUUUCUUAAUUUUUUUAUUAUACUCUUGUACUUCAUUUUUAAAAGACUUAUACGUCUGUCUGUCUGUCUUUUGGUCUCUCUUUAUUUGUGGUGCAAUCUACAUUGUGUGAUUUUUAUUCACUAUAAUCUAAUUAUAUUGUUGUUUCUCUGGAAAAUGAUAGACCUUCACCUAUUUUUGUCUUUUGAAAAUUUACUAUGAAUUUCUUGAGAUUUUGAUAGUUGGGAAACAGUUUUAGUUUCCUCUUCUUGAUCCUGACUGCUUGCUUCUCCCAUUUUUUGGAAACUCUGGCUUCCAGGUGAUGUAAUCAGCAAUUUUGGGGGUUUUGAUAUGGUUAACACAUUAGAUUUGGCUUUUUAAAACUUUCUGAUAUAUUAUUGUCUGUGUGUCCUAAUUAGCUUCAGUUGUCAACAUUUUGGAGCCUACACUCAUUUCUCAUUCAAAUGCCCUCAUUAAAAUGGCUGGAUGCUGUGUAUGUGAGAGAUUGUGUUGUGUGAUGAUUGAUGUGGGAAGGAAGGCUCUUCUGCUGAGGGUGUCAGGAUCCCUGAGCUAGUGUGCCUGGACUACAUAAGAGAGCUAGCUGAGCAUGAGACAGUGACCAAGCAAGAGGGCAAGGCAAGAAACAAUGGUCAUCCAUGGUUUUUGCCUAAUUUUCUUGAAGCUUGAGGUUCUCUCCUUAGCUCACAAAAUGAUGGACUGUGAUCUGACAGGACCAAACAAGUGAACAUGCUCAUUACCUGAGAUGCUUUUGGUUAGAGGAUUCAAUCAAAGUAGCAGAGUAGCAAGUUAGAACU